UAUAUGGGAGCAUGCUUGAUAAAAUCAGGUUCAUGUCUGUACAAAUUAGUUGAUCCAGCAAAAUUUAUUCUUGGAAGUAGAUGAUAUUUUUUCCACAUCCUUUUUGAAUGCAACAACGAUAUAACAAUAAUGUGAUCUAUUAAUAGAUUUGCAUCUACAGAAUAAGUGGGCUUCCACGUUUAGGUUUAAGUCUUCCAAAUAGGGAGCUCAGGUUGCUCCGAGCGUGGUCGCUGGACGGCAUGGACUUGCUCGGUUGUGUCUGAACCAUCCCUUGCUAAUGGUACCUCUUAACCCACUCUGUUAGUUCUUGAUUACUGCAUCUGUUGUUGGAAGGCGUUUCCUGAUUUUUUUUCAACUAGGCAUUCAUGUGGAUGUAUUAUGCAAUGCGGAGAGCCAUUGGAAACUGAUUACCACAUUCAUGGAUGGAUAGCUUCCGGUGAGCUAUGUUGCAUGAUUUGUUUGUUAGUAUAUCUGUGUCGAUGAGCUGCUCGAUUGCACAAGCGAAAUCGACACUUUGAUAAUAUGUAAGAUAUAUCAUGGUUCAUGUAUAAGGAGUGAUAAUCCAGUUAUUUUUUAUAUGCAUAUUUAAGUCAACAAGAGCUUCAAAUGUUUUUUGUGCAAUGUAAAGAGUUUCAAAUGGGUUUGUACAUUGUGAACGGGACAUGGCCGUUUUCAGUUUGUGAAGUGUCUUUUUUUUGGUA